UACGUAGGGGCCUAGCGUUGUCCGGAAUUAUUGGGCGUAAAGAGCUCGUAGGCGGUUCGGCAAGUCGGAUGUGAAAUCUCCACGCUUAACGUGGAGGGGCCAUUCGAAACUGCUGUGACUCGAGUCCGGUAGGGGAGUGUGGAAUUCCCGGUGUAGCGGUGAAAUGCGCAGAUAUCGGGAGGAACACCAGUAGCGAAGGCGGCACUCUGGGCCGGUACCGACGCUGAGGAGCGAAAGCGUGGGGAGCGAACAGG
rnacentral:rRNA from 1 species